UACGGAGGAUCCAAGCGUUAUUCGGAAUCAUUGGGUGUAAAGGGUCCGUAGGCGGGAUAAUAAGUCAGUGGUGAAAGUCCGUGGCUCAACCAUAGAAUUGCCAUUGAUACUGUUGUUCUUGAGUGUUGAUGAAGUGGUUAGAAUAUGUAGUGUAGCGGUGAAAUGCAUAGAUAUUACACAGAAUACCGAUUGCGAAGGCAGAUCACUAAUAAAAUACUGACGCUGAUGGACGAAAGCGUCGGUAGCGAACAGG
rnacentral:misc_RNA from 1 species